rnacentral:lncRNA from 1 species
UCAAUUCCUUGCUACCCUUAACUACGCCCUACUCCUUGUCCAUUCAUCUUCAAUCUAGCGAUUCUCUCCAUCUUCCCUCUGAGUCUGCAACUCUCUGAACGUCGUCUUCCCUCCCAGGUAUGAGCCCUCCCUUCUCUCCAACGCUUCUUUUGCUAGAUUAUGGGCUUGAAUGUUCUUCGUUCUAUGGAUAAACUUGAAAGUAAAGUCUUGAACCCUGGAUUUUCUGGUCUGUAUGUCAUAAAUAAUCGCCCCAAGAACCGACUUAUCCAUUUCUUUCGAUUGACAUUUUUGAAUGACUGUUCUCGAGUCCCCCUCUAUUGUUACUGUUGUUAACCCCAUUUCUAUUACUAACUUAAUGGUAUCUAAUCCUGCGAGGGCUUCUGCUGCAAACGGGGUGGGGGUAUCCUCAUGUGUAACUGACUUUGAGGCUUUUAAAGCUCCCGUUUGGUCUCAAACGACUAUACCUGAGGCAGAUCUAGCAUUUCUUUUGUCAAAAGCGGCAUCAAACUGAACUGUGGUACCCUCCGUCGCCCCAGUAUAACUGUUGUCCCUUUUGGAAGAAGACGUAAAUGUUUUCAUUCGGAUCCCCUCCAGUUCUGCUAUGUAACUACUAACUUUCCUUGCUAAAUCCCUAACUGGUAUGAUUUUCUUUUCAUGUACAAGCUAAUUUCGAGAACUCCAAACACACCAUAGCACACAACAAAAGGAUCGACAUUGCUUGUGACACCCCUAAUCUGACCCUAGUCGAAAAGUGAUUUCGGGACCACGAAAUCGAGUUUUAUAAAUAAUUGAAAGUUAUAUUCUAUGUUCAUGAGGUGAGUAAAUGCAUGUGUAAAAAUUUCAAGCAUUAAUUUUGCCAUUUGUAUGUGAAAUUUUGAAACGGGACUUAUGUGAAACAUUGGUAAAAUAGGAUGGUAAAAAUAUAAAGUGAUCUAAUAGAGCAUGUAUUAAAAAAUGUGGACUUGCAUUUCAAUUAGACCAUUUUUGAAUGUAAAUGGCCGGCCAACACAUGCAUGUAACAAUGUGUUCUCUUGUCUCCAUUUUUAAUUAGUGGGAAUUAUGUAUAAUAAUAAAUUUAUAUUAGUGGUGGUGAUAAAAAUAAAGUCCCAUCAUCUUUUUUUCAUCUUGCCGAAACCAUAAGGAAAGGAAAAAGAAAAAUGGAAGGAAGAACACCUAAGGCAUUCGGCCAUCUUGUGUUGGGAAUUAAGGUAUGAUUUCAUAUGUUUUUCUUUGGAUUUUGAGAAAUUUAAAUUGGUUUUAAAGCUCCUAAAAUGACCCAUGUAUGUGAUUUUGUGUUUGUGAUGCAUGAAGCAUUCGAUCAUGAGCUCAAUGGGUUACAUUGUGUAUGUUUUGCUAAUUUGUGAGGAGAAAUGUUUCUAAUUGAGUAUAAACAAACUAAAUUACUAUAUAUGGCUCAAAUGAGCUUGAGUAGUCGGCUAACGAAGUUAGUUGAGUUAUAAUACUUGCUUAAUAAUGAAAAUAACAUGAGCUUAAUGCUCAAAUAGCAUUCGGCUUUGGACUAAGUUAAAUUAGUUAGGAAAUGAGUUCCAAGAUAGUGAAUUAUGUGUUAAAAGAGGGAUUUAGGUUGUAUAUACGUGUUUAGAUUGAAAACAAGAGGCUAUGUUAGCUAAUUGAGGGAUUCGGCCAUAGUAUUAUAGUGAAUAAUAAUUUGAACAAGGGUUUUAAUUGUAUGAUAGGUUUUCGGAUAUGGUUGAUUGGAUAAUAAAUUGGUGUGGGUGUUUUGAAUGAGAUAUGUAUAAUUAUAAGUUAAAUUUAAGGUUUGUUAAAUUUGUCCUUAUCAUUGCCGAAUGAGUUCAAUGGCUAAAGAAAAUUGUUAAGUGCUUAGUUAAUGUGCAUUCGGUCAUUUAGGAUGAGUAUACAUUUGAUAAUGUUUUGAUACUUUGAAAUGGAAUUUAAUUAUUAAUGAGUUAUAAGCUUGUUGAAUUUUGAGAUGUAAUUGGGAGUAAAUUUGAUAUGAGCAUAUUUUGUUAAUGACAUAUUGAUAAAUGUUGAGUUACGAUACCAUGAUAUUAAGCUUAAAGGCAUUCGAUCAUGAGAUGGAUUAAGGUGAACUAAAUGAUAUUUGGCAAUGGUACUUUUUACAUGAGAAAUUCGGUGUUAAUUGUAUUAAAUAAGGUUUUUGUUUCUUGUUAAAUUGGAUGUAUCUUGUUGUAUGAGUGCUUGAACAAACUAUGAUUAAAUAGAUGCAUAGAUUCAAGGCGGCAAGAAUUGGCUAUUAUGCUUGAUACUAAUGCCGAAUAUGAGAAUGUUGUACUUGAAAAAUGUAGGUGAACAUGACAAGUGUAUUCGGCUUAGGACAUAAAGGAUAUGAAAAUUUGGUAUUUAUUUUUGAUUGUGUGUGUAUGACCAUGGAUAAUUGGCUGCACAAAUAUUAUAAAUACAUAAAUUUAUUAAGCUACAAAACAUUAUACAUGAUCGGCCAAAGUAAAUUAUUUGAGUAAAGUAUAUCUUGAUGGUACAUUUCAGCUAGUAUAAAAUGUAUAUGGAUGUCGUAUGACUAUGUUUAAUUUGGGAAGUAAAUUGUUUGAUUUAGCUCAAGGGCCUAGAGGAUCAAAGUUGGAUAAGGGAAAGGAAAAAGUGAUCGAAUAGCCGUCGUAAUCGUUUGGUAUCUUUCGAGGUAAGUUUUAAGUGAUUAAACGUUGAGUAAAUUCAAUCAUAAUAGGACAUAAUGAGUUGAUUUAAUAAGAUAUGAUGUGGCCAUGAUAUGUCUUAAACUCAAAUGGUAAGUUCAUAAGUGUUUGGACUUGGAAAUUUAAGAGCAAAUUGUAAUAAUUUGCUUAGGACAGCAGCAGUAAUGUGAUUUUAUAAAAUCACUAUAAAUUGUUGGUGUGGAAUUAUAGGCUGAAUAAAAUAUGUAUUCAAAGCUUAAUUAGUCUAGUUUCUUAUAAAAGAGACCGUGUAAGCAAAGAAAUUUCCUAUAAAGUGAUAUUGGAAGUUGUGCUAGACAGUGUCAGAAUGACUCUGAAAUCCCUUAUUCUGUUUUUAGAAAAUCUUUAUAAUUUGUACAAAAAUGGUUAUAAGAUAAAAUGUAUAUGCUUAGACUCCUUAAUGAGUCUAGUUUCAAAUGAAAUCAAAUAGAACAUAUUUUGAAUUCUGUACAAUGAGAAAUUUGAUUCGUAGUGAAGAGUGGUCAGAUUAGUCAAACAGUGAAACAGGGGAAAUUUUAAGAAAAAUUUGGUAUUGAUUGGCCAAACUUAAAAUUCUGAAAAUUUUAUGGAUGGAAGAUAUAUGAGUCUAUAUUCAGGGAAAAUUAAUGGCAAUUGAUUUUCAGUUUUGUAGCUCCAGUUAUAAAUAAUUUAGUUACUAUUGCUCAGGAAAACAGCUUGUAGUGAACAUGUGAAUUUGUUGUAAACAUUGAUUAAACUAUUUGAGUUGCUUAUAAGCUAUUGCUGAAAUUGAUGUACAAGAUAAAUAUAUAUGUAUAUGUGGUAAAGCCGAAUGGCUAAUGUGAAAUAUGUAUGAGAUAUGUAUAUGUAGUAAAGCCGAAUGGCUAAUGUGAAAUAC